rnacentral:tRNA from 1 species
GGUGGUUCAGUGGUAGAGUGCUUGCCUCUUAUGCAUGAGGCCCUGGGUUCAAUUCCUCAGCACCA